UUCAACAACACAGUAGAGAUUGAAUAUAUAAAUAAGUUUAAGAAGGACUAAGUUACUAUAGGCACAAUCCCUAGUGCAUACUUAAAACAGGCAAAAUUUCAGGGAUGACGGGGAAGAUAGAGCUUACUUUUUGCAGUUGAUGUCAUGAAAUUCACCUGUACUUUCCAGGCUUGUUCAUUAGUUCCUCAGAAGGUCAGAAUAUAGGCCCAACAAGUCUUCUGAGCCUGGAGGACACCUCUUAUGCUUCUGUAAACAUUCUUCCUUCAUAUUCCAUCUCCUGUCCCAGCCACUCUCCACUCCAGCUCUGGGUUCUGAAGAAGAAGAAGAAAAAGAUAAAAAGAAUGGAGUAAAGUUACAAGGAGGGAAAAGAGAGAGACAUUUUCUUAACCUUUUGGAUGUCUGCAGUAUGGAAUGUAUGCUGUACUGCAUUGGAUUCUAGGGAUUCAAAUAUAAACUCCUGCCAUUGAGGAACCCCUAGUCUUGUAAGACCCAGACAGAAGUGAAUACUCAACAACACUACACUUGGCUAAAGGGGCCAAGCAGCUUGGGAGCUCCAGCAGGACUACCAAGGGCUGCCACUGGCUGUCUGACAGUGCCUGGCAGGAACACAGCCCAUCAAGCAGGAGAGAAGAGAGCAGCACAUAGCCAGCUGCAAGCCCCCGAGAAGUAUACCAAAAUCAGGGAAUUUGCAUAGUAAAAUUGAAAGCAUAUUUGCAUUCAAGAAUCAAACGCAUGCAUUACCACUGUCCUGGAAAUAGGCUGACUCAGACCAUACGACUAAAUAAAAGAAUAAUGUUUACUCAGAACUGAUGUACUUGUUUAAAAAGUUAAUGUUUUAAGCUUUCUGCCUUCUAGCAAAACAUUGCUAAUCUAAUUAGAGCUUUCCAACCCCUCUUGGCCUGCAAGCAGGCCUGCUGUGCAUUGACUGCUCACCAGACAGGAUGGACCCUGGGCCCUUUCUGCUCACCCCCUCAGCUUAAAAAGUUCAGCUCAACCCUCCUUCUCAUCUCCAAAUGUUUUCUUCUAAUUUCUAAGCCAGCCACCAGCACAUUCCAGCACUUUGCACUCCCUAGAAUCCCAGAAAGCAAGUUUAUUUGUGUGAUAGGUCUUCCCUCAAAGACAUUCUUAGAACGCUAUGUGGUGGAGCAACUGCUAUCUAAUU
rnacentral:lncRNA from 10 species